rnacentral:lncRNA from 1 species
AUCACUGAGAAUACGAAUGUAAUUGGUACAUAGAGACGGAUUCGUUGGAAACCAGAAACCUCUGCAGAACACAUCCGAGAGAGAGAGUAGUUUACAACAGAUAUGCAGGCAUGCAGCAAUUUAAUCAAUCAUUCAUGUGUAAAUAGAUUCCAGCUACAAUCUUCGUCAGGAUCAGGCCAUUUGUGUUUAUUUAUUCUUUUGUCCUACGACGGGUAGUACGAUAAUCUGCGUCGGAGAUGAGUCAUGAUCUCAACGUUUUGCUCAACAACUCAAAUUCAAAUGCUUGCAAGUUGAGACGCCGAAAGCUAACACUGGCAUCUUCUGUGUGUAAUCCAAGUUGAGGUUCAGCGCCGCUAGCUGCCAUCUUCGUCAGGUUCAGUCUCCAAAAUCCCAAGUUUUGCCAUCUCCAACUGCAAAUCUGCAAGUAAACAGCAUUGCAGCCUCAGGUUUGUCACACUAGAUACAAUUGAGAAAAAAAAAUACCACGGUACAACAUAAGCAAAGAACUGAACGAACUAUCUUUCCUACAGUUUUUCAGAUAAUUUCUUCAAGACUCGUGUAAAAUUCAGUGUCACAGCUCACAAACGAGCUAUGCGUAGUAGCAACAAAUCAAGAACUCCAGGGAUUAGGUAGACAUAGAGCUACAGGACACCAAACUGUUCAGAACCAACGCCGGCUAUCAACCAC